rnacentral:rRNA from 1 species
UACGUAGGGGGCGAGCGUUGUCCGGAAUUACUGGGCGUAAAGGGCGCGCAGGCGGCCCGCUAAGUCCGCUGUGAAAGACCGGGGCUCAACCCCGGGGUGUCAGCGGAGACUGGUGGGCUAGGGUGUCGGAGAGGAGUGCGGAAUCCCUGGUGUAGCGGUGGAAUGCGUAGAGAUCAGGGGGAACACCGAUGGCGAAGGCAGCACUCUGGCCGGAGACCGACGCUGAGGCGCGAAAGCUGGGGGAGCGAACGGG